rnacentral:rRNA from 1 species
CCUACGGGGGGCAGCAGUGGGGAAUAUUGGACAAUGGGGGCAACCCUGAUCCAGCCAUGCCGCGUGUGUGAAGAAGGCCCUCGGGUUGUAAAGCACUUUCAGUGAGGAAGAACGCCUGGUGGUUAAUACCCAUCAGGAAAGACAUCACUCACAGAAGAAGCACCGGCUAACUCCGUGCCAGCAGCCGCGGUAAUACGGAGGGUGCGAGCGUUAAUCGGAAUUACUGGGCGUAAAGCGCGCGUAGGUGGCUUGAUAAGCCGGUUGUGAAAGCCCCGGGCUCAACCUGGGAACGGCAUCCGGAACUGUCAAGCUGGAGUGCAGGAGAGGAAGGUAGAAUUCCCGGUGUAGCGGUGAAAUGCGUAGAGAUCGGGAGGAAUACCAGUGGCGAAGGCGGCCUUCUGGACUGACACUGACACUGAGGUGCGAAAGCGUGGGUAGCAAACAGGAUUAGAUACCCCAGUAGUC